CAAGGGAGAUGAAAAAAAAAGCUAAUCUGUGGCACAGAGAUGGACAAAGAUGUAAGAAAGACCAGACACAGGACUAAGAUGAGAGAUUAUUUUUAAAGGGUGGAAGAGAGAGGAAAGAGGAGAAGAGGAGAACAGCAAGUCUCUAGGCAUCAAAUUCCCCACAACAAUCAAUAUGUGGAGCUCAAACAGUCCAUGCCUCAGUCUACCUAAGGAAAAUAAAUGUAUUAAGAAUAUUUCAGACAAUGUCUACCUGGAGCCUGGAACCCAUGGACAUCACCAAAAAGUGUUUUCUCCUACCAGGCCUUUCCUACAUGUCUUCCAUUUGUUUCCUCCUCUAUUUAGUUUUCUCUUCAACAUGUGAAGUGCAGACAGAUCGAAAAGAGACUGGGUGACUGAC